rnacentral:rRNA from 1 species
AGGACGAACGCUGGCGGCGUGCUUAACACAUGCAAGUCGAGCGGUAAGGCCCUUUCGGGGGUACACGAGCGGCGAACGGGUGAGUAACACGUGAGCAAUCUGCCCUUCACUUCGGGAUAAGCCUCGGAAACGGGGUCUAAUACCGGAUAUGACUGCGCCAUGCAUGUGGUGUGGUGGAAAGUUCUGGCGGUGAGGGACGAGCUCGCGGCCUAUCAGCUUGUGGUGGGGUAAUGGCCUACCAAGGCUUCGACGGGUAGCCGGCCUGGAGAGGGUGACCGGCCACACGUGGGACUGAGACGACGGCCAGACUCCGUACGGGAGCCAGCAGGUAGGGAAUGUUGGACAAGUGGGACAAGCC